CCUACGGGAGGCAGCAGUGAGGAAUAUUGGUCAAUGGCCGGAAGGCUGAACCAGCCAAGUCGCGUGAGGGACGACUGCCCUAUGGGUUGUAAACCUCUUUUAUAAGGGAAGAAUAAAUGCUACGUGUAGCAUGAUGCCUGUACCUUAUGAAUAAGCAUCGGCUAACUCCGUGCCAGCAGCCGCGGUAAUACGGAGGAUGCGAGCGUUAUCCGGAUUUAUUGGGUUUAAAGGGUGCGUAGGCGGUUGUUUAAGUUAGUGGUAAAACGUCGGGGCUUCACCUUGAUUUGCCAUUAAUACUGUAAGACUCGAGUUCAGACGAGGUAGGCGGAAUAAGUUAAGUAGCGGUGAAAUGCUUAGAUAUAACUUAGAACUCCGAUAGCGAAGGCAGCUUACCAGACUGCGACUGACGCUGAAGCACGAGAGCGUGGGUAGCGAACAGGAUUAGAUACCCCUGUAGUC
rnacentral:rRNA from 1 species